rnacentral:rRNA from 1 species
AUUGAACGCUGGCGGCAGGCCUAACACAUGCAAGUCGGGCGCGCGGCGGGCGGGUGAGUAAUGUAUGGGGAUCUACCUGAUGGAGGGGGAUAACUACUGGAAACGGUAGCUAAUACCGCAUACCAUCAGAUGAACCCAUAUGGGAUUAGCUUGUAGGUAAGGUAACGGCUUACCUAGGCGACGAUCCCUAGCUGGUCUGAGAGGAUGAUCAGCCACACUGGGACUGAGACUCGGCCCAGACUACUACGGGAGGAAGCAGUGGGAAAUAGUGCACAAUGGGCGCAGGCCUGAUGCAGCCAUGCCGCGUGUAUGAAGAAGGACUUUGGGUUGUAAAGUACUUUCAUUCGGGAGGCGUUAUCUACAGAAGAAGCACCGGCUAACUCCGUGCCAGCAGCCGCGGGAAUAC